CAUCUCUCAGGGUCAUACCUGGAGAGUUUCCAGUACUCUAUCAGUCUUGACUAUGGGAGGGAGAGUCAAGCAGAGGCAUACACAUUCCAUUCUUAUAUUGGCCAGUGGCUAGCGAGUGGAAGGCAGUCUGCUACAAGU
rnacentral:snoRNA from 1 species